rnacentral:rRNA from 1 species
UACGUAGGGGGCUAGCGUUGUCCGGAUUUAUUGGGCGUAAAGAGCGUGUAGGCGGCUUGGUAGGUCCGCUGUGAAAACUCGAGGCUCAACCUCGAGAUGUCGGCGGAAACCACUUGGCUAGAGUCCGGAAGGGGAGAGUGGAAUUCCUGGUGUAGCGGUGAAAUGCGCAGAUAUCAGGAGGAACACCUAUUGCGAAGGCAGCUCGCUGGGACGUUACUGACGCUGAGACGCGAAAGCGUGGGGAGCAAACAGG